CUGCCCAGCCCCUCCCCCUGCAGUCUACUGCUUGAUACCUCACCUGUCUAUGUGAAAACUGAGCCCACCCCCACAGGCUAGUGAGGUCCCCCCCAUGGAAGGACUGAAAGACAACAUCACUCACUCCUCUUUGGCUUCCUGAAGCUGAGGGGAUGCGAUUGGUGUCUGGACAAACUUCACUUCCCCUUGGAUGGUAGCUGUCUUGAGCCCUGCCUGGUUAAUAUCCAGAAUGUGGAAGGCAGGAGACUAGAGACAUACAGUGUUUGAUGGAGUGGAGUCAGAAAUUGAGAAAGGUCAAAGGUCACACAGGAUGCUGAACCAAUCUGUCCAGGGGCAACUAACUGAUGGCCACCAAAGACUUGACAAAAACGGUCAAUCUGCAGAUGAGAAGUUGAUUCCAGAAGAGCAAAGGUGGCUUGAGAAACAGGAGGACAGGAGGGUACUUCAAAGAGAAGGUAAUCACUUUCAGUGAUUUGAGGACAAUGCUAAAAUGUGUCACAUCAAAAACCAAACCAAACCAAGGGAAACAAACAGAGAAAACCAAGAUGCUAUAAAUAAUUACAGAAGGUCGCUUUUUGGCAAAGAAAGAAAGAGUAUUCUUUCUAGAAAAUAAGAAAGAGCAAUUUCAGAAAACAGACCCCAAGUAUCAGCUAUAGUGCUAUUCUAGAAUACAUUGGCAUGUGUCUGCACAGGCAUGUGGAGGCUAGAGGACACCCUUGCAUGUCCUUCUGCAGGAGCCUUCCACAGUGUCCUUUGAGGCAGGGUCUCUCACUGGUUAAUCAGGCCAGCCAGGGGUCUCGGGGACCCUCCUGUCUGCCCUCUUAGCACUGAGAUGCUAGGCGCCGCUGCCAUACCAUACACGAAUUCUGGGGGUUGAGCUCUGGUUCGCAUGCUUGUGAGAUACUGACAACCAUCCUCUCAACCCAGUAGAUGUGACUGUGUAAUCUAGAAGGGAGAUCUAGAAAGAAAAAAAGUAAAACAUUCCACUGAGAAGAAGGUUCUCAGGGCCUUGGAAAGGCUCCUGGAGCGCUGGAGAGAUGCUGCUGGUGUGGACACAGUUCACACCAGGAACAGCUGAGUCACAAACACGUGUUUUCAUUUUUGCACACGCGUGUGUGUGCAUGUGAGUGCUGGGCGUCUGGAAGCUGGAGGUUGACUCUGGGAGUCAUCCUUGCCUCUAACUUCCUCCUCCUUCCCAGAGGCAAGGUCUCUCUGUGAAAUCCAGAGCUCCCAGACAGGAUUCUUCCUUGCUCUGGGGCUCUGUCUCCACAUUCAGAGACUGGGGUUACAAGCCCGCCCGUCUCACCCAGUUGGCCUUUCUGUGGGUUCUGCGAUCAGAACUCUGGUCCUCACACUUACACGGAAAGUGUUUUUAACUUGCCACCUGCCUGACCCACAAAUACUUCUUUAAAAAAAAACAGUUAAGAGUACAUUGUUGCUGUCUUCAG